GAAGUGGUAGCUAGGUGGUUAAGACAUUCGACUUCUGAUUGAAAGGUCGUGAGGUCAAAUCCCAGCAACGAUA